rnacentral:rRNA from 1 species
CCAAUAGCGUAUAUUAAAGUUGUUGCAGUUAAAAAGCUCGUAGUUGAAUUUCGGGAUCAAUUAAUUGGUCGUGCCUCUGGUACGUACUGAUUUUAUUGGUUUCUCCCUUCUGACGAACCAUGAUGUCAUUAAUUUGGUGUCGUGGAGAAUCAGGACUGUUACUUUGAAAAAAUUAGAGUGUUUAAAGCAAGCUAACGCUUGAAUACAUUAGCAUGGAAUAAUGAAAUAGGACGUUUGAUCCUAUUUUGUUGGUUUCUAGGAUCGACGUAAUGAUUAAUAGGGAUAGUUGGGGGCAUUAGUAUUCAAUUGUCAGAGGUGAAAUUCUUGGAUUUAUUGAAGACUAACUACUGCGAAAGCAUUUGCCAAGGAUGUUUUCAUUAAUCAAGAACGAAAGUUAGGGGAUCGAAGACGAUCAGAUACCGUCGUAGUCUUAACCAUAAACUAUGCCGACUAGGGAUCGGAUGAUGCUAAUUUUUUAAUGACUCAUUCGGCGCCUUACGGGAAACCAAAGUGUUUGGGUC